GCUUAGAGCUGAGCAAAGCGCUGACCCCCUCCCCUCCCCUACUGCAGACAGGCACUGCUGCAGCGCACAGGUGAGAAGUGGUCCCACAGCACAGCCCCAGCAAGCACCCGUCUCUUCAGCUGGAGGGGAAGGGGUGCAACAACCAAACUAUACGGAAGGCAGCAGCGAAACGUCUUCAGAGACCUCAGAGGACUCAGACAGCAGCUCUCUGCACCCACAGGAAAGGAAAACCUGCUCAAAGGAAGACCUGAACUACACAUCCGUGCUGUUCCCGGGGAAAGGCCGUGGAUCAGGCUCUGAUAGGAACUACGAGAACAUAAAGAUCGGCGCUGAUUACGUCAACGUGGACCCAAAAAAGAAGAAAGCAGAUUUUUGGACCUGCUCCAGCCCUGUGGCAUCCAAGUCCAUCGAAUACACAGAGGUGAAGCUGUGACACUCCCUGGGGUCCCACAGCAGCCACCGCUCUGUGCCCAGGUCAGUGCUGGCACAGGGCUGCUGCCAUUCCCUGUGAUGGUGCAGCUCCCCCCAGGGAUCUCUUGGGGUUGGAGGCUGUGGGUGUGGGGUGAUGUGGGGCUGCCCCACACCUCCCUGUGGGGAAACGCUCCUUCUCAGACUGCCACAAGCUCUGCACAUGUGUGUGAACGCCGUUUUCUCAUCUUGUGAAAGCAAAAGCUCCCCCAGCGGGAUGUGGGUAAGAGAGGGAAAUGCAAUCAUUUCCAAAACAUCUCUCCAUUGGGCUGACAUAUCCUGUGAAUAAUGCUUCCUUUGCUGAUCGCUGUCAUAAAAACCUUUUCAAUAUGCUCCAUCCACCGGCUUCACCCUUCCUGCCCUCACACUGAGCCCUCCUCCCUGCACCCCAUUUUCCUUUGAUGCUAAACCCCCUCAGGGCCUCAUCAGCCCAUCACCUGGCA
rnacentral:lncRNA from 1 species